rnacentral:tRNA from 1 species
AUUUAUUUAGUUUAAAAAAACAUUUUAUUUUCAUUAAAAAAAAGGAAAUUUCCAAUAAAUA